AUUGAACGCUGGCGGCAUGCUUUACACAUGCAAGUCGAACGGCAGCGCGGGCUUCGGCCUGGCGGCGAGUGGCGAACGGGUGAGUAAUACAUCGGAACGUGCCCAGUAGUGGGGGAUAGCUCGGCGAAAGCCGGAUUAAUACCGCAUACGACCUGAGGGUGAAAGCGGGGGAUCUUCUGACCUCGCGCUAUUGGAGCGGCCGAUGGCAGAUUAGCUAGUUGGUGGGGUAAAGGCCUACCAAGGCGACGAUCUGUAGCUGGUCUGAGAGGACGACCAGCCACACUGGGACUGAGACACGGCCCAGACUCCUACGGGAGGCAGCAGUGGGGAAUUUUGGACAAUGGGCGAAAGCCUGAUCCAGCAAUGCCGCGUGUGUGAUGAAGGCAUUCGGGUUGUAAAGCACUUUUGGCGGGGACGAAAAGGACUGUGCCAAUACCACGGUUCGAUGACGGUACCCGCAGAAUAAGCACCGGCUAACUACGUG
rnacentral:rRNA from 1 species